AAGGGCGAAGCCUGAUCCAGCAAUGCCGCGUGGUGUGAAGAAGGCCUGCGGGUUUGUAAAGCACUUUCAGGGGGGAAAAAGGAGACAGUGUGAAUAGCACUGCGCCUUUUGAUAUUACCCCCAGAAGAAGCACCGGCUAACUCUGUGCCAGCAGCCGCGGUAAUACGAA
rnacentral:rRNA from 1 species